CGAGUGAUGUCGUGCCUGGGCUUAGCAUGACAUCCGUCUUGACGACGUGCUGUAGGUCAUCACAUCAAGCUUCGAUAACAACUCUUCAGGCAGCACGGCGUCGUCACACCCGGUUUUAAGAAUAAAACCGAAAGCAUAACUAUAUGUAUGCCAGGAUCAAGUUCCAUACAUAUAGUGACUUCAUCAGUGAAUAA